UUAGUGGCGGACGGGUGAGUAACGCGUGAGAAUCUACCUUUAGGACGGGGACAACAAUUGGAAACGAUUGCUAAUACCCGAUAUGCCCUUCGGGGUGAAAUGUUUUUUCGCCUAAAGAUGAGCUCGCGUCCGAUUAGCUAGUAGGUAGUGUAAUGGACUACCUAGGCGAUGAUCGGUAGCUGGUUUGAGAGGACAAUCAGCCACACUGGGACUGAGACACGGCCCAGACUCCUACGGGAGGCAGCAGUGGGGAAUUUUCCGCAAUGGGCGCAAGCCUGACGGAGCAAUACCGCGUGGGGGAGGAAGGUCUGUGGAUUGUAAACCCCUUUUCUCAGGGAAGAAGCUCUGACGGUACCUGAGGAAUCAGCAUCGGCUAACUCCGUGCCAGCAGCCGCGGUAAUACGGAGGAUGCAAGCGUUAUCCGGAAUUAUUGGGCGUAAAGCGUCCGCAGGCGGCUAGAUAAGUCUGCUUUCAAAGAGUGGGGCUCAACCCCAUAGGGGGAGUGGAAACUGUUUAGCUAGAGUAUGGUAGGGGCAGAGGGAAUUCCCAG
rnacentral:rRNA from 1 species